CUCUACUGUGCCAGUUCCUUUCUCGCGUGCCCGUGCCCUAUUUCCUCACCCGACGCCGUCUUCUUCUCCAAACUGUCGCCGCGACAGUUUCCCCUCUUCUCAGCCGUGGCCUAGGGUUUGUGGCAAAUCCCUUUAUCUUCUCGUCUUCUCCCUCGCCGAACCUGAUUUCCCCUCUUCUUCUCUUCUCCUUCUUCUGCCCUAGCGCCGACCAAGUUUUUGUUUCACCUCUCUUCCUUUCUUCCGGCAAAGCAAGGGCCGACCGACUGUUCUACCUCUUGAUCGUCGGCUAUCAUCACUCGACUGCCACCAUUCAUCGCCGGAGGUGCUUCUUGUGUUUGUGGUCACUGUGGUCGCAGGAUUCUACCGGGCCCUCUUCCCCAUCGGUUGAUUGUUGACGCUGUGCCCUGGUUCUUUUCUCCACUGCCGGCUUCUUCUUCCAUCAGCCACCGACAGAGAGGGAACGAGGGGCACUGGUUAGGAGAGGCAGGUUUGAGUAGCAGUAACUUCUAGUUCCGGUCAUUAUAUCACUAAGGUACGCGUCUCCGGCAGUGACUCAACAGUCGGGCAUACACAAUUGGAUGAGUUUUGGAUUGAGGACCUUGACGCGAGACGUGUUUCUCAAUUAUUGGAUUGGACCACUUUAUUGGAGGCGGG